rnacentral:misc_RNA from 1 species
GUGGUUGAUGAUUGGAAGAUUGGGAUUAAUUUGAGUAAUAAGAAGGUGAUCAGCAAAGAGGAAGUUUCAGAUAAUAUUAACCGUCUGAUGUGUGGAGAAUCAAAGGAUGAAUUCAAGAACAGUAUCAAGGAGAUCAAGAAGACACUGGAAAGUGCAGUGUCACCUAGUGGAUCAUCAGAGAAAAAUAUGUUACAAUUCAUCAAGGACUUGGAGGCUAAGAUUGAAAAGAUAGCCCAUGCCAAGAACUCCAACUGCAAUGGCCAUGUGUAAUAUAUAGGACCUCGAACUUACCAUGUAUGCAUGUCUUCCUUUUUUUUU